CCUACGGGAGACAGCAGUGAGGAAUAUUGGUCAAUGGGCGCUAGCCUGAACCAGCCAAGUAGCGUGAAGGAUGACUGCCCUAUGGGUUGUAAACUUCUUUUAUAUGGGAAUAAAGUGCAGUAUGUAUACUGCUUUGCAUGUACCUUAUGAAUAAGGAUCGGCUAACUCCGUGCCAGCAGCCGCGGUAAUACGGAGGAUCCGAGCGUUAUCCGGAUUUAUUGGGUUUAAAGGGAGCGUAGGCGGGUUGUUAAGUCAGUUGUGAAAGUUUGCGGCUCAACCGUAAAAUUGCAGUUGAUACUGGCAGCCUUGAGUACAGUAGAGGUAGGCGGAAUGCGUGGUGUAGCGGUGAAAUGCUUAGAUAUCACGAAGAACUCCGAUUGCGAAGGCAGCCUGCUGGACUGUAACUGACGCUGAUGAUCGAAAGUGUGGGUAUCAAACAGGAUUAGAUACCCUUGUAGUC
rnacentral:rRNA from 1 species